GUGCCUUAAUGACAGAACGCAGUCGAGCUGGUAUGGACUCCACAGGUUUAUGUAAAACCCGCUGAGUCAUUGUAUCCCAGCAUGAAAUUUGCAGUGAUUGUAGUUGAAUUUCAGAACGUUAGAAUUUGGUUUGUCCCUCUUUUGCCUUGAUGACAACAUGCACUCAGGCUUGUAUGGAUUCCACAAAUUCCUUAUACUUUGACUUCUGCCAAAACUAAAGCAAAAAAAAACAACAAAACCCGAAGCCAUUCCAAUCCCUUUUUAAAUGACAGGCGUUUCGCUCGUCAGGUGACGGCCUUGUUCACUCGUACAGACAGAUGAACAUUUGUUUUUUCAUGGAUUGCAUUCUGAACAGUUGGGGAGUGAUGCUUUUCUCCGGCUGCACAAAAACACAGCGGGUGAUGGAGGUGCUUUGCAUUGUGCAUCGAUGCAGCGCCUUGUGAAAAGGUAAAACGGCAGCCAUUGUCGGACCAGAGUGGACGGACGGGAACAAAACAUACACUGGUGGUGUUUCAUGUGGCUCCCCGCUGAGGAUGGCACAAAUUUCCAUUGGAGCGCUGACAGUGAACGCAGCACAGCAUGCCUUUUCCUCCUGACUAACGAUGCAAAUUAUUAAAAUGAUUUUCCCUCCA